UCGUUGUCGCCGUCUCGGGUGGUUAAAUCACCCGUAGGCUACUUCCUCCUCUCCCGUCUCCGGCCUCUGCGAUACACGAUGCGUCUUCGCUCCAGUUUCUUACCUCCAGCGUGCUCUCCGGUCUCCUGUUUUAACACCCCCACCUGCCGGCACAAUGCCGUCCCAGAGGUGUUCGGAGCGCUCGUCGCCUACGAGGCUCGGGCUAUUGU
rnacentral:lncRNA from 7 species